rnacentral:rRNA from 1 species
ACGGGAGGCAGCAGUGGGGAAUAUUGCACAAUGGGGGGAAACCCUGAUGCAGCGACGCCGCGUGAGUGAAGAAGUAUUUCGGUAUGUAAAGCUCUAUCAGCAGGGAAGAAAAUGACGGUACCUGACUAAGAAGCCCCGGCUAACUACGUGCCAGCAGCCGCGGUAAUACGUGGGGGGCAAGCGUUAUCCGGAUUUACUGGGUGUAAAGGGAGCGUAGACGGCGAUGCAAGUCUGAUGUGAAAGCCCGGGGCUCAACCCCGGCACUGCAUUGGAAACUGUGUUGCUAGAGUGCAGGAGAGGUAAGUGGAAUUCCUAGUGUAGCGGUGAAAUGCGUAGAUAUUAGGAGGAACACCAGAGGCGAAGGCGGCUUACUGGACUGUAACUGACGUUGAGGCUCGAAAGCGUGGGGAGCAAACAGGAUUAGAUACCCUGGUA